UACGUAGGGUGCGAGCGUUGUCCGGAAUUAUUGGGCGUAAAGAGCUUGUAGGCGGUUUGUCGCGUCUGCUGUGAAAAUCCGGGGCUCAACCCCGGACUUGCAGUGGGUACGGGCAGACUAGAGUGUGGUGGGGGGACUGGAAUUCCUGGUGUAGCGGUGGAAUGCGCAGAUAUCAGGAGGAACACCGAUGGCGAAGGCAGGUCUCUGGGCCACUACUGACGCUGAGAAGCGAAAGCAUGGGGAGCGAACAGG
rnacentral:rRNA from 1 species